rnacentral:sRNA from 1 species
ACUUGUUGUGGACAUAUAUAGUGAAUAUGUGUAUCUAUACCACCAGCUGUAACUAUUGCACCUUCUGCUGAUAGUGCAUCUGUUGAGGCUCCAACUACCAUAUGAGGGUCUACACCGUCCAUAAUAUCUGGAUUUCCCGCUUUACCAAUACCAACUAUCAUUCCAUCUUUUAUACCUAUAUCUGCUUUAACAAUUCCCCAAUAAUCUAUUAUUAAAGCAUUUGUUAUUACUAAGUCUAGCGCUCCAUCUUUGCUAGUACAAUUAGCAGAUUGACCCAUACCAUCACG